GCGGGAGUGCCAGAGCGGUCAAAUGGGCUGGAUUCAGGGUCCAGUAGCCUCGUGCUUUCGCAGGUUCGAAUCCUGUCUCCCGCA
rnacentral:tRNA from 1 species